GGCGAUGUGGCCUAGUGGUAAGGCAGUAAAUUGCAAAUUUAUCAACCUCAGUUCGAUUCUGAGCAUUGCCU
rnacentral:tRNA from 1 species